AUACGGAGGGUGCAAGCGUUACUCGGAAUCACUGGGCGUAAAGCGCGCGCAGGCGGCUUGAUAAGUUGGAUGUGAAAGCCUACGGCUCAACCGUAGAACUGCAUCCAAAACUGUCAGGCUAGAGUGUGAGAGAGGAAGAUGGAAUUAGUUGUGUAGGGGUAAAAUCCGUAGAGAUAACUAGGAAUACCAAAAGCGAAGGCAAUCUUCUGGAACACUACUGACGCUGAGGCGCGAAGGCGUGGGGAGCAAACAGUAGUAGAUACCCCUGUAGUCC
rnacentral:rRNA from 1 species